ensembl:lncRNA
AUUUAUUUAUCCUACUUAUUUAUUUAUUUAUUUAUUUAAUUAUUUAAUUAUUUAUUUAUUUAAUUAUUUAAUCAUUUAAUCAUUUAAUCAUUUAAUUAAUUAUUUUUUUUUUUUUAGUCUUUUUUAAAUAAUACGAUAGUAAAUCAGUAUAAAAUAAUAUUUUUACAACCAAACUUGGGUAUUUUUUGGUAUAUCAAUUCACUGGUAAUAUAUAUGAGUAUAUAUGAACAUAUAUGCAUGUAUGUGUACAUAUUUAACAUUGUAAAGCAAAACUGGGUACAAUCAUAAUCAUUGUGCACAUACAACGCCUUCUCAACAUAAGUAUACAUACAUAUAUAUACAUACAUACAUAUAUAUAUAUAUAUAUAUGCAUGUACGUAUGUAUGCAUAUGCUGACCGUGUAAUAUUUUAUUCACACAUUUUAUAGAUAUUCAAAGAAUAUUACUACGCAUUUUUGUUCUUUUUUCACGUAAGCCAUUGUUACGUACGCAUAUGUACACACUUGCGUACUUUAAACAGAAAAAAUAAAAAAAAAUAAAGUAAAAUAAUAAUAAAAUAGUAAUAAAAUAAUAAUAAAAUAAACAGACAAAUAACGAAAUAAAUGAAACGAUGUUCAUAUUAUUUUGGAAAAAAAAUUGUAUAUAUAUAUAUAUAUAUAUAUAUAUAUAUAUAUAUGUUUUUUUUUUUUUUUUUUGAUAUAGUUUCACGUAUUUUUUUACCCCAUCCCACUUUUGUUUCGUCUUAUGAAAACCCCACUUAUCUAUUUGCAAAUUAUGGUUGCGAUUACGUUGAUAUUUGAACCUAAUAUAACCAUAAACGACGUUGUGUACUGUUUGCUACUGAUGUCGAUUGAUUAUGAAAAAACGCUGUGCAACGUUCCUUUUGCGAAACUAUUCAUGAUAAUGCUCACUGGUUUAGGCUUGUUUUGUGUUACAACAAAUUUGUGGCUACACAAAAAUACAGCAAAUGCAAAUUAUGUAUAUGCUUACCAGUUGUUAACUUUUAACAUUAUUACUUUUAUUAUAGCUAACACUUUAAAUUUUUACAUUAAAGUACAAACACCCAUAAUGCAGUUGGAAGAAGGAAAAAGUUUUGUUGUGUCGAAAAACAGAAAAAAAUUGAACUUUUUAGAAGCGUUAAAGGAGACUCUUUCAUAAUUUGUUUUUUUACUGCAUGAUGUUAUAUAUAUACAUAUAUAUGUAUACAUUUUUUAUUACGCACUCACGCAAUAAUGCAUAAUGUUAGUUAAUUUUUAUUUUUAUCCUAAAAGUUGUAAUCAAUGUAUGAUUACUCUGUGUUUCUAUAAGUAUAUUGUACCUACAUUUGUACAAAAAUAUCAACAAAAAAAAUACAAGUUUGUAUACUCUUCCACAUUUACAAAAGAAAAAAGAAAAAAAAUUUAUGUUUCAUUUUUUAAUACAAUAGCUAUAAGUUGUGGAAAACAAAGAGUGUCACUCUUUACUUUUAUUUAUUUAUUUAUUUAUUUAUUUUUUUUUAUUUUAUUUUUUAUUUUUUUACAACUCAGUUUAAUUAAAAAAACAAAAGAAAGAAAUUAAUUAUAAUUAAUACAUAUGAACCUGUUUUUUUCAUUUGGACAUAUAUAAAAAAAUAUUUUCUUAUAAAAGGCAUAUAUUUUCCAUAUCAUUUCAAAGCAUAAUAGUUAUGUAAAAAUUGUAUGAGUAAAAUAUAGCUUUUUUUUUUUUUUUUUUUUUUUUUUUUUUUUUUUUUUUCUUGCUCAUGCAUAAAUAGCAUAGCAAUAUUAAUAAUUAUAAUUUUUUUUGUGAAAAAAAUAAAUGGAACGUUCUUAUCA